rnacentral:rRNA from 1 species
UACGAAGGUGGCAAGCGUUGUUCGGAUUCACUGGGCGUACAGGGUGUGUAGGCGGUUUGGUAAGCCUUCUGUUAAAGCUUCGGGCCCAACCCGGAAAGCGCAGAGGGUACUGCCGGGCUAGAGGACGGGAGAGGAGCGCGGAAUUCCCGGUGUAGCGGUGAAAUGCGUAGAGAUCGGGAGGAAGGCCGGUGGCGAAGGCGGCGCUCUGGAACGUUACUGACGCUGAGACACGAAAGCGUGGGGAGCAAACAGG